rnacentral:rRNA from 1 species
GACGAACGCUGGCGGCGUGCCUAAUACAUGCAAGUUGAGCGCUGAAGGUUGGUACUUGUACCAACUGGAUGAGCAGCGAACGGGUGAGUAACGCGUGGGGAAUCUGCCUUUGAGCGGGGGACAACAUUUGGAAACGAAUGCUAAUACCGCAUAAAAACUUUAAACACAAGUUUUAAGUUUGAAAGAUGCAAUUGCAUCACUCAAAGAUGAUCCCGCGUUGUAUUAGCUAGUUGGUGAGGUAAAGGCUCACUAAGGCGAUGAUACAUAGCCGACCUGAGAGGGUGAUCGGCCACAUUGGGACUGAGACACGGCCCAAACUCCUACGGGAGGCAGCAGUAGGGAAUCUUCGGCAAUAGACGAAAGUCUGACCGAGCAACGCCGCGUGAGUGAAGAAGGUUUUCGGAUCGUAAAAAUCUGUUGGUAGAGAAGAACGUUGGUGAGAGUGGAAAGCUCAUCAAGUGACGGUAACUACCCAGAAAGGGACGGCUAACUACGUG